ACCAACUUUAGUAACAACCGCACGAUAGCAAUACACAGCGGUCUGAGGAGCCAUAAACAAACCUCAAACAAAAAGCCACUCUGUAGCCACAAAUAAUGCUCAGAACAGCACCUAACUUCAUCAACAGUACAUAUAGGGUCCUAGCCACAGUACUAGCCACCGAACAUCAUUUUAACUUUGCCUGAUUUCUUAACCCUUGUGCACCCCUAGGGACCGUUUUGGUCCUUUGUAACUAUACUUUUGUGGAUAAUUUUGGCUGUGAUGAUGCAAAUGGCAUGAAAGUUUGUCAAAGUGUGUAAUUUUAGGUGCAAUUUAAUUUUUUUUCUUUUUUCUUCCUUUAACCUUUUUUGCAUGUGAGCAAUUUUUAUACUUCAGUAAACACCCCUAAGGACCGAAACGGUCCCAUUGACUCCCAUUAAAACAUGUUUUUUUCAAUACACUGCCAAUGCAGUAUAAUUUUUGGAUUUUUUUUUUUUCUCAUGUACACCUAUUCUUUGAGGGUCAAACUGUUUUUUUUUUUUAUGCCGACCAGUAGAUGGCGCCAUUUUUCUUUUUUCCUGCCAUACCCUUUAGAACCAGAGGGGCACUGUUUUCCCUUUGUCACAGAGCUGGUUUAUUUCAUGCAUAUAGAUAGAUAGAUUGAUAGAUAUAUAAUUUAUUGAUCCCAAACUGGAAAAUUCUCAUGUUACAGCAGCAAAAAAAUACAAAAUAGAAUUAAAUAUAAGAAGAACUAUGUACAAUGCAGACUAAAAAUACUAAAUAUAUACAUUGAAUACAGGCUAAAUAUACUAAACAUCUUUAGAGAGAAAAUAAAUUUAAUAAAAACUAUUUAGGUGUGCUUUUGGGACAUCAUGGAUUAUGUGCAUGUGUUUUCAUGAAUUACUUGUGUGUGUGUGUGUGUGUGUGUGUGUGUGUGUGUGUGUGUGUGUGUGUGUGUGUGUGUGCAUAUGCAGCCAUGCGGCAGUUGUACAAUCUGCACCUGCAGUUUCCUUCUGUGUGUGUGUGUGCGUGUGUGUGUCUGAUUGUGUGUGUGUGAUUGUGUGUCUGAUUGUGUGUGUGUGCGCACGUGUGUGAGCAAGCUCAUGAGGUUCAUAGUGGGCACCUGAUCAAUGUGAGUGCGUAAAAGCAAGCGAGGAAGGGAUGGAGUGUGAGUGUGUGUUUGUGUGUGUGUGUGUGUGUGUGUGUGUGUGUGUGUGUGUGUGUGUGUGUGUGUGUGUGUGUGUGUGUGUGUGUGUGUGUGUGUGUGUGUGUGUGUGUGUGUGUGAGAUUGUGUGUGCGAGCGUGCGUGCGUGUGUAAGCGCACGCACGAGGUUCAUAGCUGGCACCUGAAGAGGGAGGGCUUCAUCAAUGUGCUUACGUAAAAGCAAGGGAUGGAUGGAUGGAUGGUGUGUGUGUGUGUGUGUGUGUGUGUGUGUGUGUGUGUGUGUGUGUGUGUGUGUGUGUGUGUGUGUGUGUGUGUGUGUGUGUGUAUGUAUGUGUGCGUGUGUCUGAUUGUUUUUGUGUGUGUGUGUGUGUGUGUGUGUGUGUGUGUGUCUGAUUGUUUGUGUGUGUGUGUGAGCGAGCGCACGAGGUUCAUAGCAGGCACCUGAUCGAUGUGCGUGCGUAAAAGCAAGCAAGGGAUGGAUGGUGUGUGUAUGUGUGUGUGUGUUUGAGAUUGUGUGUGAGAUUGUGUGUGCGUGCAUGCAUGUGUGAGCGCACGCACAAGGUUCAUAGCGGGCACCUGAAGAGGGAGGAUAUCAUCGAUGUGCGUGCAUAAAAGCAAGAGAUGGAUGGAUGGAUGGAUGGUGUGUGUGUGUGUGUGUGUGUGUGUGUGUGUGUGUGUGUGUGUGUGUGUGUGUGUGUGUGUGUAAUACACUACAGAAAAAAAAAAAUCUUUUCAAAUCAAUUUUCUCAUCAAUGUUUACCAAUCCCAUGCUCUAAUAAUCAAAAGUUUAAAAAAACAAUUUGCAUAUAUAGGAUGGAAAAUAAUUCACUAAUUGUGUUUUUUGACUUAAGAUAAUAUCAGGUUUUUACAAAAAAGACUGGCAUUUAUGGGGUUAAAAUACACAACCUGAAUAAAGUUUUGCUAUUUAUGAUUAGGUUAUAAGUCAAUGAUGGCAGCCAAAAAAAAAAAAAUUUAAAUACAUUUAUUUAGACCAUAUUUUUACCCCAGCAAAAUGGAGGGGACCGUUUCGGUCCUUAGGGGUGUUUAUUGAAGUUUUUAUUAUUAUUCAACACUACAGAAAAAAUACAAAUCCUUUCAAAUCCAUUUUCUCAUCAAUGUUUACCAAUCCCAUGCUCUAAUAAUCAAAAGUUUAAAAAAACAAUUUGCAUAUAUAGGAUGGAAAAUAAUUCACUAAUUGUGUUUUUUGACUUAAAAUAAUAUCAGGUUUUUACAAAAAAGACUGGCAUUUAUGGGGUUAAAAUACAAAACCUGAAUAAAGUUUUGCUAUUUAUGAUUAGGUUAUAAGUCAAUGAUGGCAGCCAAAAAAAAAAAAAUUUAAAUAUAUUUAUUUAGACAAUAUUUCUACUGCAGCAAAAUGGAGGGGACCGUUUCGGUCCUUAGGGGUGUUAAUUGAAGUUUUUAUUAUUAUUCAACACUACAGAAAAAAUACAAAUCCUUUCAAAUCAAUUUUCUCAUCAAUGUUUACCAAUCGCAUGCUCUAAUAAUCAAAAGUUUAAAAAAACAAUUUGCAUAUAUAGGAUGGAAAAUAAUUCACUAAUUGUGUUUUUUGACUUAAAAUAAUAUCAGGUUUUUACAAAAAAGACUGGCAUUUAUGGGGUUAAAAUACAAAACCUGAAUAAAGUUUUGCUAUUUAUGAUUAGGUUAUAAGUCAAUGAUGGCAGCCAAAAAAAAAAAAAAUUUAAUAUAUUUAUUUAGACCAUAUUUUUACUCCAGCAAAAUUGAGGGGACCGUUUCGGUCCUUAGGGGUGUUAAGGGAAGUUUUUCUUAGGGGUGCACAAGGGUUAA